GCAGUGGCUUAGGAGCAGAGCAUCUGCUUUGCGUGCAGAAUGUCCCAGGUGAAAUCCCUGGCAUCUCUA